AAUAUCACCCAUUAAUUAAGAAGUAAAAAACAUCCAGAAUGCAUGAAUUUAAGGAAAUAUGAAAAUUAUAUAUAUUUUUUCAAUUGAAUGAUAUGACGCAAAACAUGAUGAAAACUAUUUCAGUCGCCAAAGCGGCGCGGCGUGCCGUCGGUCUUUAUUACAUUAAAUACUUUAUGGAAGCUGAAUUGGUGGAAUACGAGUUAAAUGAGAUAAUGUUAUCCGAGAGUGCUACUUUUUUUCGACGUGACAAUGACUCUUUUGGCUUUGAUAGUUUCACCUGGGAUAGUGUGUAUUUCGUUUGAGACCUACUCGUGAAAUUCGGACCUAAAAGGCCUGAAAAUAGUUUAGUCGGAAGGAACGGACAUGCAAACAAAAUUAUAUUUGCAGUUUUGUUGUAGAUGGCAGAGCCAAGUGGUCAAGUUACUGCAGCUCGAACAUGGGUCAGCUCGACCGGGGUAGUGCCACCCUGUCACAGAAGAUUGUCGUGAAGUAGUCUUUAAUGGCUGCGUUUCGUCCGAUGAGUAAGAGAGCUGGUUGCCCUUUCCCUUCUUCCACCCUAUUCCCACCUUUCUCACCUCUUCCCAAAUCAAGGGCGGCAACACAUCCGCAAAUCUAUGUUGCGCUUGUCCAUGGGCGACGAUACUACCUCCAUUAGAUCUUCAAUGACUUAAUAAAGAUGGCUACAAUAUUGAAUAGUCAGGUUUUUU